UACGAAGGGGGCUAGCGUUGCUCGGAAUCACUGGGCGUAAAGGGUGCGUAGGCGGGUCUUUAAGUCAGGGGUGAAAUCCUGGAGCUCAACUCCAGAACUGCCUUUGAUACUGAAGAUCUUGAGUUCGGGAGAGGUGAGUGGAACUGCGAGUGUAGAGGUGAAAUUCGUAGAUAUUCGCAAGAACACCAGUGGCGAAGGCGGCCCCACUGG
rnacentral:rRNA from 1 species